rnacentral:rRNA from 1 species
GAGUUUGAUCAUGGCUCAGAGCGAACGCUGGCGGCAGGCUUAACACAUGCAAGUCGAACGGGCACUUCGGUGCUAGUGGCAGACGGGUGAGUAACACGUGGGAACGUACCUUUCGGUUCGGAAUAAUUCAGGGAAACUUGGACUAAUACCGGAUACGCCCUUCGGGGGAAAGAUUUAUCGCCGAAAGAUCGGCCCGCGUCUGAUUAGCUAGUUGGUGAGGUAAUGGCUCACCAAGGCGACGAUCAGUAGCUGGUCUGAGAGGAUGAUCAGCCACAUUGGGACUGAGACACGGCCCAAACUCCUACGGGAGGCAGCAGUGGGGAAUAUUGGACAAUGGGCGCAAGCCUGAUCCAGCCAUGCCGCGUGUGUGAUGAAGGCCUUAGGGUUGUAAAGCACUUUUGUCCGGGAAGAUAAUGACUGUACCGGAAGAAUAAGCCCCGGCUAACUUCGUGCCAGCAGCCGCGGUAAUACGAAGGGGGCUAGCGUUGCUCGGAAUCACUGGGCGUAAAGGGCGCGUAGGCGGACUCUUAAGUCGGGGGUGAAAGCCCAAGGCUCAACCCUGGAAUUGCCUUCGAUACUGAGAGUCUUGAGUUCGGAAAAAGUUGGUGGAACUGCCAGUGUAAAAGUGAAAUUCGUAGAUAUUCGCAAGAACACCA